rnacentral:rRNA from 1 species
AUUGAACGCUGGCGGCAGGCCUAACACAUGCAAGUCGAGCGAGCGGCGGACGGGUGAGUAAUGUAUGGGGACUGCCCGAUAGAGGGGGAUAACUACUGGAAACGGUGGCUAAUAACGCAUACUAUCGGAUAACCCAGAUGGGAUUAGCUAGUAGGUGGGGUAAAGGCUCACCUAGGCGACGAUCUCUAGCUGGUCUGAGAGGAGGAGCAGCCACACGGGGACUGAGACAAGCCCCAGAAGACUAGGGAGGCAGCAGGGGGGAAUAUUGCACAAUGGGAGCAAGCCUGAUGCAGCCAUGCCGGGUGUAUGAAGAGGGCCUUAGGGUUGUAAAGUACUUUCAGCGGGGAGGCGUUACCCGCAGAAGAAGCACCGGCUAACUCCGUGCCAGCAGCCGCGGUAAUAC